GCGUCGAUAGUGCAAUGGGUUAAAGCAGUAUAAGGUAAAGUGCGGGUUCGAGUCCCGCCUGACGCA